UGCUCCUCAUCAGCCAAAUGAGACACACAGUUCCUCCACAAGCUGCACAUGAUUUUUCCAGCAGCAGCUAAUCAGGAACCUCUUUACAGUCCGCUUCUCCACGGAAGCGGCAUACAAAAGCUUCUCAUUUUAAUCUCAGUUACUCGGCAAAAAUGUAACUCAAAUGGAAACAAGUCCUGUUCCUUUAGAGCUUCCAGAAAGACAGAUGCCUGUCACCUGGCAACAAGCACAGCAGCACCGACUCCUCUGUCUCUCCAGUCUGUGGAGGAACACUGCACAUCCAUGACUUCGUAUGCGUUUCUGUAGGACCUUUUUGCAAGAGCUGAGCUUAGCAGCAUGCACUGCCUACUUGAUGCGAAGAUGAAGUUCCACUGAGUGUUUAAGUCACUACCGGGACAUUUAACAAGUACCACAAGUUUACAGAAAGAUAAUAGAAUUGUACAUCUACCUGACCACCACAGGGCUCAUCAAAAGAGUACGUAAAGGAGGGCAAUCUCCAAACACCUCUCAAACACCGACCGAUAGCCGUGGGGCAUCGACCACCUCACCAGGAAGCCUGUCCCGGUGUUUGACCACCUCACGGGCUGUUCUGUGGUCAGUUACAGCGUGGUGUCUGAAAAACUGUUCUGAACUGCCAUGUGAGGAUGGCUUCUGGUCAUGCUGUCACACAGACAUUGGAGGACAAAGAGAAGUAGAAGGUACACACUUCUGCUCAGUCCUGUUUAUUGCUGGUCCUGGACUUGCACAGCUUACUUCAUUUACAUAGCAG